rnacentral:rRNA from 1 species
UACGUAGGGGGCGAGCGUUGUCCGAAGUUACUGGGCGUAAAGCGCGCGUAGGCGGUCGAUUAAGUCUGGGGUGAAAGGUUCAGCGCUCAACGCGAACAGUGCCUUGGAUACUGGUUGACUUGAGUUGGGGAGGGGGAAGUGGGAAUUCCGGGUGUAGCGGUGAAAUGCGUAGAGAUCAUGAGGAAGACCAGUGGCGAAGGCGGGUCUCUGGACAGUUCCUGACACUGAGACACGAAGGCCAGGGGAGCAAACGGG